GAUAUAUUUUAUAUUAUACUCUUGAGUCCCAUAAAAAUAUGAUUAACUUACAUUUUUAUCAAAAUUAGGCGGCAGCACCGCCCCACCCUUCGGGGCGUAGCGCAGUUGGCAACGGAGAGGCAGAUCUUGCUGCAAUGGAAUUAUUUGAAUAACAAGUUCUAUUUAUUGAAUGGAUUAUCAUUUUCAGCCAUUUGGCAUGAGUUCGAAUUCAAUCAGGCUUAAAUUCUAUCUGAAGUGUAGUUGGCUUCAAUGUAUGCAUAAUUAAAUACUGAUUCCAAUGCGUUUAGGAAAGAUAAUAGAGCAUGAUGAGGUCAAUUAUUUUUAUUUUUAUUUUUAUUUUUAUUUUUAUUUUAUUUUAUUUUUAUUUUUAUUUUUAUUUUUAUUUUUAUUUUUAUUUUUAUUUUUAUUUUUAUUUUUAUUUUUAUUUUUAUUUUCAAGUUAGAACAAUUGUAACGAGCAAACGCAUGAGGGCAAUAGCACUUUACCUUACCUAA